AUUUUUUUUACGUGGAUAGUCUAAGACACUUCUUACGCCAUCCUGUAUGUUCGGUUAAUGCUCAGACCUUCACUAUAAAGCUCCGAUCGUUGAGGGGUUUUGAAACCUUGAUCCACUAGUCUCCUUCCAAAGUGUUGAACUGGAUUUCAGUUUUUAAGAGGAAAGAUGAAGACGACACUCUUGAGGUGGAGAGCAUCAACCUCUUAAGAGGACUAAAUAAAUGAGUUCAAAGCAUGAUGUUCUACAACUCAUCUCUGUUUUUUAGAAACGAUAGAACCUUCAUUGGUGUUGUCUGUGGUCGAUCGAAGCAAGGAAUGUUCAAUCGGGUCUAUGACCUCCUCCGUGAAUAGGGCCUUACAAAGGGUCUAAUUCCAAACACUGUGAAUCCUUCUCGAUUUCCGAUGAUGGAGACUUCGAGGAAUCAAAGUGGAACCCAAUUUGGAGUUGACUGAAUUCUUUGUUGGGUUUUUGUCGGAGGAGUUCCCAUCUGAGCAGUUUCAGACUAUUCUCGUUUGUAAGAGCAAAGCUUAUGCAAAUCCAUUGGAGACAAUAAAUAGAAUCUGAUGUUUCAUAGGUAAAAAUGACUUGAUUCCAUCGCUUA